GUCAGAUACGUGGCAUUUUUUAUGAAACUUCAUGGCUAAUUGCAAAUUUUGUCCAACUGUGUGUCGGAAUUCAGCAGGAGCUGAGCA